CUGGUAACACUCACACUUGAGCAGGUCCUCAAGCAGCAAGACUAGAAACUUUGAGAGCUCAGAGGGGCCUAAGGAAAGCUGACGAAUGAAUGCGGCAUCACCAUGGAUGGAGCCUGGAAAAGAACACAGGCAUCAGGGCAAUGAGUGUUGGGGAUUCACAGUAUAAACCAGGGCAAAGACGACACUUGCAGACUGAAGCCUGGAGAAAACCUCCUAAGUCCUUGUGGUGCAAGCAUGCACAAGUCAAGGGUCAUAACACCCUCCUGUGAGAGAUGCCCUCACCAUGCCCAGGGGAAAGAAGCUUCCGUAUCUUCAAGGCAAAGGACCUUCAGAAGAAUUGGAGCAAACAGGCCUUGCUAAGUUUACCUUAGUUGACUGCUCUCAUCUCGUAGUCCUUAACCCAUUGGUCACAGCCCUCCACUCUGAAUCCAGCCUAGCCUAAAAUAGGGGAUCUGUUUCUCUGAGUCUUCAUUUCUGAAUGAAGGCUGCUGCAUCACAUAAAACUUAUAUCACAUAAAUGUGUAUGCUUUUCUCUUGUUAAUCUGUGUCAGUUUC